AUUGAACGCUGGCGGCAGGCUUAACACAUGCAAGUCGAACGAGCGGCGGACGGGUGAGUAAUGUCUGGGAAACUGCCUGAUGGAGGGGGAAAACUACUGGAAACGGUAGCUAAUACCGCAUACCAUCAGAUGUGCCCAGAUGGGAUUAGCUAGUAGGUGGGGUAAUGGCUCACCUAGGCGACGAUCCCUAGCUGGUCUGAGAGGAUGACAAGCCACCCUGGAACUGAGACACGGCCCAGACUCCUACGGUAGUCAGCAGUGGGGCAUAUUGCGCAAUGGGGGCAACCCUGACGCAGCCAUGCCGGGUGUAUGAAGAAGGCCUUAGGGUUGUAAAGUUCUUUCGGUAGCGAGGCGUUAACUACAGAAGAAGCACCGGCUAACUCCGUGCCAGCAGCCGCGGUAAUAC
rnacentral:rRNA from 1 species